CGUAACGAUGCCACUAGCGAUCCGCCGGUGGUAAUUACGCCCCGGCGGGGAGCUUCCCGGAAACGAAAGUCUUCCGGUUCCGGGGGAAGUAUGGUUGCAAAGCUGAAACUUAAAGGAAUUGACGGAAGGGCACCACCAGGAGUGGAGCCUGCGGCUUAAUUUGACUCAACACGGGAAAACUCACCCGGCCCGGACACCGUAAGGAUUGACAGAUUGAGAGCUCUUUCUUGAUUCGGUGGUUGGUGGUGCAUGGCCGUUCUUAGUUGGUGGAGCGAUUUGUCUGGUUAAUUCCGAUAACGAACGAGACUCUAGCCUACUAAAUAGGCCACCGGCUUACUGACGUCGGUGGGACUUCUUAGAGGGACAGGCGGCGAUUCAGCCGCACGAAACAGAGCAAUAACAGGUCUGUGAUGCCCUUAGAUGUCCGGGGCCGCACGCGCGCUACACUGAAGUGAUCAGCGUGCAUUACAAACCUGCUCCGUCAGGAGUGGGGAACCCAAUGAACCUUCUUCGUGAUUGGGAUAGGGGAUUGUAAUUAUUCCCCUUGAACGAGGAAUUCCCAGUAAGCGCGAGUCAUAAGCUCGCGUUGAUUACGUCCCUGCCCUUUGUACACACCGCCCGUCGCUACUACCGAUUGAAUGAUUUAGUGAGGUCUUCGGACUGGCCGGCGCAGCUGUCUUCGGGCGGCCGCGCUGUGUUUGGAAGAUGUCCAAACUUGAUCAUU
rnacentral:rRNA from 1 species